UACGUAGGGUGCGAGCGUUAAUCGGAAUUACUGGGCGUAAAGCGUGCGCAGGCGGUUCGUUAUGUCCGAUGUGAAAGCCCCGAGCUCAACUUGGGAAUGGCAUUGGAAACUGGCGGGCUGGAGUGUGGCAGAGGGGGGUGGAAUUCCACGUGUAGCAGUGAAAUGCGUAGAGAUCGGGAGGAACAUCAGUUGCGAAGGCGGCUCUCGUGGACCAGCACUGACACUGAGGCACGAAAGCGUGGGGAGCAAACAGG
rnacentral:rRNA from 1 species